AGUGAACGCUGGCGGCAGGCCUAACACAUGCAAGUCGAGCGGCAGCGCGUCCGACCACCCUCGGGUGGUCGGAUGGCGGCGAGCGGCGGACGGGUGAGGAAUGCAUCGGAAUCUGCCUCGUUGUGGGGGAUAACGUAGGGAAACUUACGCUAAUACCGCAUACGACCUACGGGUGAAAGUGGGGGGACCUUCGGGGCCUCAUGCGAUGAGAUGAGCCGAUGCCGGAUUAGCUAGUUGGCGGGGUAAAGGCCCACCAAGGCGACGAUCCGUAGCUGGUCUGAGAGGAUGAUCAGCCACACUGGAACUGAGACACGGUCCAGACUCCUACGGGAGGCAGCAGUGGGGAAUAUUGGACAAUGGGGGCAACCCUGAUCCAGCCAUGCCGCGUGUGUGAAGAAGGCCUUCGGGUUGUAAACUGCUUUUGGAUGGGAAUAAUAACCUCGACGUGUCGGGGCUUGAAGGUACCAUCAGAAUAAGCACCGGCUAACUCCGUG
rnacentral:rRNA from 1 species